AGUGAACGCUGGCGGUAGGCCUAACACAUGCAAGUCGAACGGCAGCACAGUAAGAGCUUGCUCUUACGGGUGGCGAGUGGCGGACGGGUGAGGAAUACAUCGGAAUCUACUUUUUCGUGGGGGAUAACGUAGGGAAACUUACGCUAAUACCGCAUACGACCUACGGGUGAAAGCAGGGGAUCUUCGGACCUUGCGCGAUUGAAUGAGCCGAUGUCGGAUUAGCUAGUUGGCGGGGUAAAGGCCCACCAAGGCGACGAUCCGUAGCUGGUCUGAGAGGAUGAUCAGGCACACUGGAACUGAGACACGGUCCAGACUCCUAAGGGAGGCAGCAGUGGGGAAUAUUGGACAAUGGGCGCAAGCCUGAUCCAGCCAUACCGCGUGGGUGAAGAAGGCCUUCGGGUUGUAAAGCCCUUUUGUUGGGAAAGAAAAGCAGCAGGUUAAUACCCCGCUGUUCUGACGGUACCCAAAGAAUAAGCACCGGCUAACUUCGUG
rnacentral:rRNA from 1 species